rnacentral:rRNA from 1 species
UACGUAGGAGGCGAGCGUUGUCCGGAGUUACUGGGCGUAAAGCGCACGCAGGCGGUCUUGUCAGUCUCAGGUGACAGUCCUCGGCUUAACUGAGGAAGUGUCUGGGAAACUGCAAGACUUGAGGGCUUCAGAGGGACAUGGAAUUCCUGGUGUAGCGGUGAAAUGCGCAGAUAUCAGGAAGAACACCCGUGGCUAAGGCGGCUCUCUAGUACGUGACUGACGCUGAGACGCGAAAGCGUGGGGAGCGAACAGG